UACAGAGGUCCCAAGCGUUGUUCGGAUUCAUUGGGCGUAAAGGGUGCGUAGGUGGCGCCGUAAGUGGGGUGUGAAAUUUCGGAGCUUAACUCCGAAACUGCAUUCCAUACUGCGGUGCUUGAGGACUGGAGAGGAGACUGGAAUUCAUGGUGUAGCAGUAAAAUGCGUAGAGAUCAUGAGGAAGACCAGUGGCGAAAGCGGCUUCCUGGACCAGAACUGACGAUCAGGCACGAAAGCGUGGGGAGCAAACAGG
rnacentral:rRNA from 1 species